rnacentral:rRNA from 1 species
AAGAGCUCGUAGCGGUUUGUCGCGUCUGUCGUGAAAGUCCGGGGCUUAACCCCGGAUCUGCGGUGGGUACGGGCAGACUAAGUGCAGUAGGGAGACUGGAAUUCCUGGUGUACGGUGGAAUGCGCAGAUAUCAGGAGGAACACCGAUGGCGAAGGCAGGUCUCUGGGCUGUAACUGACGCUGAGGAGCGAAAGCAUGGGGAGCGAACAGGAUUAGAUACCCUGGUAGUCCAUGCCGUAAACGUUGGGCACUAGGUGUGGGGACCAUUCCACGGUUUCCGCGCCGCACUAACGCAUUAAGUGCCCCGCCUGGGGAGUACGGCCGCAAGGCUAAAACUCAAAGGAAUUGACGGGGGCCCGCACAAGCGGCGGAGCAUGCGGAUUAAUUCGAUGCAACGCGAAGAACCUUACCAAGGCUUGACAUGUUCUCGAUCGCCGUAGAGAUACGGUUUCCCCUUUGGGGCGGGAUCACAGGUGGUGCAUGGUUGUCGUCAGCUCGUGUCGUGAGAUGUUGGGUUAAGUCCCGCAACGAGCGCAACCCUCGUUCCAUGUUGCCAGCACGUGAUGGUGGGGACUCAUGGGAGACUGCCGGGGUCAACUCGGAGGAAGGUGGGGACGACGUCAAAUCAUCAUGCCCCUUAUGUCUUGGGCUUCACGCAUGUACAAUGGCCGGUACAAUGGGUUGCGAUACUAUGAGGUGGAGCUAAUCCCAAAAAGCCGGUCUCAGUUCGGAUUGGGGUCUGCAACUCGACCCCAUGAAGUAA